AUUAUCCAAGCUACGCGUUGAAGGAAUUUGAACGCGAAGGCUACAACAUCACAUUCGAAGACGGCGAUGAUGAGAUUUUGAGAAAC
rnacentral:tRNA from 1 species